rfam:Endozoicomonas numazuensis strain DSM 25634 scaffold00006, whole genome shotgun sequence.
CUGACACAGAAGCAAUUCUGUGUGACUGCAGUGCAGAAGUCAGCAGAAGGCAUAGUAAGUGGCCUCUCGCUACUGAAGGCC